rnacentral:rRNA from 1 species
UGGGGAAUAUUGCACAAUGGGCGCAAGCCUGAUGCAGCCAUGCCGCGUGUAUGAAGAAGGCCUUCGGGUUGUAAAGUACUUUCAGCGGGGAGGAAGGCGAUGAGGUUAAUAACCUUGUCGAUUGACGUUACCCGCAGAAGAAGCACCGGCUAACUCCGUGCCAGCAGCCGCGGUAAUACGGAGGGUGCAAGCGUUAAUCGGAAUUACUGGGCGUAAAGCGCACGCAGGCGGUCUGUCAAGUCGGAUGUGAAAUCCCCGGGCUCAACCUGGGAACUGCAUUCGAAACUGGCAGGCUAGAGUCUUGUAGAGGGGGGUAGAAUUCCAGGUGUAGCGGUGAAAUGCGUAGAGAUCUGGAGGAAUACCGGUGGCGAAGGCGGCCCCCUGGACAAAGACUGACGCUCAGGUGCGAAAGCGUGGGGAGCAAACAGGAUUAGAUACCCU